GUGCUCGCUUCGGCAGCACGUAUACUAAGACUGGAACGAUACAGAGAAGAUUAGCAUGGCCCCUGUGCAAGGAUGACAUGCAAAUUCGUGAAGCGUUCUAUAUUUUU
rnacentral:snRNA from 1 species